UUUAUUCCUCCAAAUGGAUGUGUCUUUAAAUAUCUCCAUUUCACCAACCUGUUUUAGUACCAAUUUUUAAAAAAAUACUUACAAAAACUUCUCAAGCUGGUGUUUUCCGUUUCAUGUCUUAACUUUUAUAUCGAUUUUUGCCCAAAUCAGUUGCUCGAUCAGCUCAGGGGGUGUUCUUUUCUUUGAGUUAUUUUAUCUUCGUAUUUUGAUUUUAAUUUUGAUAUUACUUUUGAGUUUUAUUUUAUUGCAUUAUGAGCAAAUGUUGUUUUCCUCCUUUUUCUAAAUUAUUUCAAUAGUGAGUUCAAGAGUUAAUUGCAAGUAAUUUAGUGCAUGGAUGAAUUUGUACGACUCUACCCCUUAAUCAGUAUUAUAUAGUAUAAUUUGUAGCAUCUAAAAAAUGAUUUGAUUCUUAUUCAUUGUCACUAAAAAGGGUACUUGAUGAGGAGUUCAAUCCUACGGCAAUUGAGAUGUAUGUCAUUUAAAAUUAGGUAUACUUGAGAAUCUUUAUGCAAUGUUUUACUUGUUUACUCCCAUUUGCGGGUUUAACUGUUUAGAUGAUUGUAGUGUUGAUAUAUUUGAUGAUCAAUCGGUGAUUACAUUAUUAAAGGUAAUAUUUGCAUAUCUUUUUUCUCUUGAUAUAUCCCCAUGCUUUUCAGUUUUUGUUGUGCUUUUAAUUUUCUUUUGUUUCAUUCAGAGGAGAUCCAUGAUUGCCUCAUCGUGUUUCUUAGAAUAUCAAAAGAUGCCUUGUUAGAUGGUUGGAUUUGCACAACAUUCAAUUGGCUUAGAAUAAUAGAAUGUAAUAUAUAAAUAAGAUGCUUGUGUUGCCUUCUUUCAUUACGCUCUAUGAUUUUUUAAAUGCGGUCAUGCGAAUUCAACUUAAAAUAACGAUUUCGCUUUAGCAUGUUCGAUAUCAAAUCAUAUCUUAGAAUCAAGAUACAAGUAUAUUUCAUUGAGGUAUGUCACAUCUGAUGCUUACUUGGAUCAGGUGCAAGGCCCCGAGAAAUGGUAUCAUAUAAUUUCAACGGAGUGUUAAAUAUAUUAUUUCUUAUACUUUUAUUAUUACUAGGCUACAUCGGCUGUCUUUUCAUUUUUCUUCUCUUAAGUUAUGUUUUGGAACAUUGUAAAAUGUUUGAUACCUCACUAAUGAAUAUCUUUUUUCUUUUAAUUGUAAGUAAUUUCAAUGCAUUUGCUAAUGAAUUUUUAUUUUUUUUAAAAAAAGAUUCAGUUAAGAGUUUUGUAUAAUGUAUAUCUUUAUAUGGGAUAGUCUUGUUCAAUUUAACAUUUAUAUAAUUUCAAUGCAUUAUGCAUUUAUAUUGAUGGAUAUUUACAUGCAUGCAUUUAUAUUGAUGGAUAUUUACUUGAGGUUAGACUUUAAUAUGUUAUUUAAGGUGACACUCUGUUUUUACCAUAACUCAUUCAUCUAACAUCACACUAAAUAAGAGCUUUUGUUGCUGCCUUUCAGGUAAUUGCCGGUCAAAAUCAUGUUUACAACGAUAAUGUUCUUUGAUAUUUAAUAUUAGAAGUAAAUCUUGAAGACUAUUAUUAAAUUAUCCUACUCUACUUAAAUAGUAGGCCUUUUGUUUCAAGUAGCCUGCACUUAUAUCCAUUGAUAAUAUGUUAUUGUAAAUACCACGGGCUUAAUAUGAUGCUUAUAAAUUAAUUCAGAUAAAGGAGAUAAUAGUGUGAAGGAUUUCUAGCAGGAAAUGAGGUUGCUUGUUUCACAUGGGAUUGCUGAAACAAAAAAAUAUGUUAAGAAAUUUGAGUUGAAUAUCUUGUUUUAUAUGAAGAUCAAAUAACUACCGGAAGAACCAAUGAAGUUACAAUUAUGUAACAAAAAAAUAUGUUAAGAAAUUUUAGUGGAAGCUUGUGAUUUUUUUGCUUUAACUUCUUAUUUUACAAUUUAUUGUUGCUUCAGCAAAUAGUAAAUUAUAUACCAAUAGAACUAAUUAGUCUCAAGCUUUUUAUAUUCUUGCUCAUAUUUUUUUAGUUUUAUUCAAAAAUAAAGUUUAUAAGUUGUUUGAAAAGCGGUAUGAUGAAGAAAAUUAGAGAAGUGAAACUGAAGGAGUUAUCAAAAAUAUUGCAAAAUAUAAAUGUUGGGCGUGUGCGUAGCACAGGCUAACCGUAUCUAGUACUAUAUAGAAGAGACAUCACAUGGAUGAUCAAGGGCAUAAUAAUAAUUUUACUACUAACACUGGGCCAGAUAUUUUGAAAAGCAAGUAUGGGCAUAAAGGUAAUUUCAUAGCUAACAUUGUGGCCAGAUACUACUUUUUACUAUAUAGAAGAGCAAUCACAUGGACGACCAAGGGCAUAAUAGUAAUUUUACUACUAACAUUGGGCCAGAUAUUUUGAAAAGCAUGUAUGGACAAUUAUGGGCAUAAAGGUAAUUUCAUAGCUAAUGAUAUCUUGACUUUACUCAUUACCAUUACAAUUCUAGCUAGGUCUACAAACAUCCAUCUUCUUCAUCAUUGUACCAUUCUUCAUUCUAUAUCAUCAGUACGAGUCUCUUUAUAGGACAAAGGGAAUUUCCAAUAACUGGUAAUAUGAAUUGUAAAUAAAUUACUAUAGAGAGAAGGAGGAGACUGAAGAGGGAAUUUCGGCAGAGACAGGUAAUUUUAUCUUCUUGUUGUUUAAUGAUAAUAUUAUGAUACUAUGGUGUAUUGAUUUGACCACCGUCUACCAGGUUCUGUUAAUGUUCAUAAAAGUUCUCUUUAGUCGUAUUGUGUAUAAAGUUAUUUUCUUUAGUUUCUACUUAGUUAAAAAAAUCAGCAAUCUUAACGGAUUUACUUUCAUUGAUCUCAGUUGUGUGUUUGUAAAAUCAUUACUUGACCUAAUAAUAUAACCUCCUUCUGAAGAUGUUAAUAUGGAUAAUUUUGAGGAUUUGAGGACUUCAAAGCGAAUUGUCAUUUAUAAUGAGGUAUAUUUAAUUGCUUGAUAUAGUUUUUUAGGAGAUCUUUUUGGGUUAUGUUUUUAAGGCUAUGACCUUCUAAAUUACACUUGUUGUUCAUGUUUUCUAUAGCACAAUUCCAUGUCAGAUUUUACUUUUAGCUUGCUUCGGGGAUUUCUUCAUCAGGAAAACUUCGUGAUAACUGUUUUAAUCUAUUUGAAGCAUUGGCGAUGAAAUAAUUAUAUACGGGUGUGCAGACAUGAAUAUGACUUUUAAUGAUGAUAUAGUGACAGUUGAGCUUUUGCCUCAAGAACAGUGGCAUGAGGAGAAGUCUUUGGCAUUAGAUGAUGAAGAUUUGUCCACAUUUUUCUUUUACUUUAAUGAACAUGAUUUUCUUUUAUAUUGCAAAAUUGAUCUACUUUUCUUUAGAACUAGGCAAAAUGGCCUUGAUUUGUCCUCUAUUAACAAUUGGAUCAUCAUGAUAUGAAUUUGUUGACUAACUUAAAAUGAUUAAAGAGUUAUUAGUAUCUGAUCAGACUAAUUAGCACCAUCAUUUGCCAUACGUGGCUUAAAUCUUUCCCUUCUACCUCCUCUUAACUCUUUACCUUACUUCCAUUCGACCUAUCAAUCCUUCUCCAUCUACCAUCGUCAUCGUUAAUAUGUGCAUUUUUGAGUUUAGAAUGUAUCUCUUAUUUUUUGUUUUGCCUAUUUUUCUCUGUCUUUCUUAUUCUGCUUCUAAGGUUUAUGUUUUGUAAAUUUUUUCAUCAUGUGGUGACAACUAAUAUACUCUUAUCUAGAGUUGGAUACAAAAUAUUACGACUUAGAAAUAUUGAAUUGUGAUGUCACUGACGAUCAAGUUAUUGUUGAAUGAAAGAAAUGAGGGAACUCUGAAGCAGUCGUUGGGUGGGAGAAAGAAAUACAAUUCAAUUUUAUUGUCAGAUUAAGGAAAGGUCUGUCAGGUCGUAUGCCCAUGGGAUGGGGCACGACUCUUCAAAAAAUGUGUGCAUCUACCCAGAAAUAUAGGACCUUGGCUUACCAAUGGAUGAAUGCAAGCUUUAGUAAUUAAUCUUGUUAUGGAGCCUAGACAAGUAUUGACAAAGCGGCCCAGCACCGAAUUAAGUGUUCAUGUACGGGAUUUGAGUUGAUAAAUAAAGAAUAGUGAGAGCAAAAGAGGGUUAUGCAAAUUGUUUAGAAAAAUGUCUACCCUCUCAUCCCCUUCUAUGAGUUCUACUUCUAAUCCCCUUUCUUUUACUUGUGUUCUUCAAUUUCUAUUUAGUUUUUUAAAUUCCUUUGUAAUUCUAAUUACGAGUUAGUGAAACAGAUUUGUCGGUUGUUUGAAGUUGAAUUGUGUUGGUCUUGUUAUCGGGUUUGUUACAUCUUGUAUGUUGGGUUUCAUCACAUUUUUAAAGAAAUUAUUAUUUUAUAUCU